AACCAGGGAAACUUGGGCUAAUACCGGAUGUGAGCUAUCGCGAGAUAGUUUGAAAGGUGGCUUCGGCUGCCGCUUGAGGAUGAGCCUGCGUCCUAUUAGCUAGUUGGUGAGGUAACGGCUCACCGAGGCAGUGAUAGGUAGGCGGCCUUAACGGGUGGUCGCCCACACUGGGAUUGAGAUACGGCCCAGACUCCUACGGGAGGCAGCAGUCGAGAAUAGUCUACAAUGGUCGAAAGACUGAUAGUGCGACGCCGCGUGAACGAAGAAGCCCUUCGGGGUGUAAAGUUCUUUUAUAUGUGAGCAGUGACAUCUAUAUUAAUAGUAUGGGUGUAGAGAUAUUAGCAUAUGAAUAAGCAACGGCUAACUCCGUGCCAGCAGCCGCGGUAACACGGGGGUUGCGAGCGUUGUCCGGAAUUACUAGGCGUAAAGGGCAGGCAGGCGGAUCCAUAAGUUUUUCGUUUAAGGCGUCAGCUUAACUGGCGUACGGCGGGAGAUACUGUGGAUCUGGAAUGCGGUUGGGGAAGACAGAAUUCCUGGUGUAGCGGUGGAAUGCGCAGAGAUCAGGAGGAAUACCGAAAGGCGAAGGCAGUCUUCCGAGCCGUCAUUGACGCUCAACUGCGAAAGUGUGGGUAUCAAACAGGAUUAGAUACCCUGGUAGUCACACAGUAAACGAUG
rnacentral:rRNA from 1 species